GACAUUGGUCGAGCCGCACGAGCAUCUCAGACAGCUCCUCACACUUCAGGCUCGAAGAGUUAUGCGAGGCUCAGAGCUGAAUUCAUGGAAGACCAUGGGAGGAAACCUGGUGAGGUGGAGUUCUAUAAGAUGACUCACACCCACCGAGAUGACAGCUUUAUCCGAGAGGAGUCGAGAGAUAUAGUUGACAGAGCUACAUCCCUUAUUUCAGAGCGUAUCGGAGAGUCAUCUUCAAUCGGCAACACCAGAGGUAUUGAAGCUCAGGUGUUUACCGAAUUGAUGGGCUCGGAGCGUUAUGGUCGAGUGAGGGGUUAUGGCGUUGGAGUUAUCCCCACUCAGUUGUCUGCAGUGGGUAGAUAUACUC